UACGGGGGGGGGCAAGCGUUGUUCGGAAUUACUGGGCGUAAAGGGCUCGUAGGCGGCCAACUAAGUCAGACGUGAAAUCCCUCGGCUUAACCGAGGAACUGCGUCUGAUACUGGAUGGCUUGAAUCCGGGAGAGGGAUGUGGAAUUCCAGGUGUAGCGGUGGAAAUGCGUAGAUAUCUGGAGGAACACCGGUGGCGAAGGCGGCAUCCUGGACCGGCAUUGACGCUGAGGCGCGAAAGCUAGGGGAGCAAACGGG
rnacentral:rRNA from 1 species